rnacentral:rRNA from 1 species
UACAGAGGGUGCAAACGUUUGUUCGGAAUUACUGGGCGUAAAGCGCGUGCAGGCGGCCUUGCAAGUCGGACGUGAAAUCCCACGGCUCAACCGUGGAAGUGCAUUCGAAACUGCGAGGCUGGAGUCCUGGAGAGGAAAGUGGAAUACUCGGUGUAGAGGUGAAAUUCGUAGAUAUCGAGUGGAACACCGGUGGCGAAGGCGGCUUUCUGGACAGGUACUGACGCUGAGACGCGAAAGCGUGGGGAGCAAACAGG